rnacentral:rRNA from 1 species
AUUGAACGCUGGCGGCAGGCUUAACACAUGCAAGUCGAGCGGAGAUGAGGUGCUUGCACCUUAUCUUAGCGGCGGACGGGUGAGUAAUGCUUAGGAAUCUGCCUAUUAGUGGGGGACAACAUUCCGAAAGGAAUGCUAAUACCGCAUACGUCCUACGGGAGAAAGCAGGGGAUCUUCGGACCUUGCGCUAAUAGAUGAGCCUAAGUCGGAUUAGCUAGUUGGUGGGGUAAAGGCCUACCAAGGCGACGAUCUGUAGCGGGUCUGAGAGGAUGAUCCGCCACACUGGGACUGAGACACGGCCCAGACUCCUACGGGAGGCAGCAGUGGGGAAUAUUGGACAAUGGGGGGAACCCUGAUCCAGCCAUGCCGCGUGUGUGAAGAAGGCCUUAUGGUUGUAAAGCACUUUAAGCGAGGAGGAGGCUACUGAGACUAAUACUCUUGGACAGUGGACGUUACUCGCAGAAUAAGCACCGGCUAACUCUGUGCCAGCCGCCGUCGUAAGAC